GCCUCUACUUGGAACCAAAUAUCGCGAAUAUCAGCAAUUGGCGGGGACUUUCGACAAUUCAUGAACAUAAAUCAUUGGAGUCAAUGUCACACCUCAAAUCACGCACAAUAAACCAACUUGGUGAGCUUGCNACUUAAACAGUGUGCUGGGCAAGAGCUUCCUGUCCCUUCACACAAGUCCACUCCUGCAAGCUUCGCUGUCAUGUACAAAGAACCACAAUUCCAACGACCCCUAGUUUGAAAGAAAGCCUCG
rnacentral:misc_RNA from 1 species